UACGUAGGGUGCGAGCGUUAUCCGGAAUUAUUGGGCGUAAAGAGCUCGUAGGCGGUUUGUCACGUCUGCUGUGAAAACUGGAGGCUCAACCUCCAGCCUGCAGUGGGUACGGGCAGACUAGAGUGCGGUAGGGAGAUUGGAAUUCCUGGUGUAGCGGUGGAAUGCGCAGAUAUCAGGAGGAACACCGAUGGCGAAGGCAGAUCUCUGGGCCGUAACUGACGCUGAGGAGCGAAAGCAUGGGGAGCGAACAGG
rnacentral:rRNA from 1 species